rnacentral:rRNA from 1 species
ACCGGCGCACGGGUGCGUAACGCGUAUGUAACCUGCCUAUAACAGGGGCAUAACACUGAGAAAUUGGUACUAAUUCCCCAUAAUAUUCGGAGAGGCAUCUCUCCGGGUUGAAAACUCCGGUGGUUAUAGAUGGACAUGCGUUGUAUUAGCUAGUUGGUGAGGUAACGGCUCACCAAGGCAACGAUACAUAGGGGGACUGAGAGGUUAACCCCCCACACUGGUACUGAGACACGGACCAGACUCCUACGGGAGGCAGCAUG